UAGGGAUGAAGUGGGAAUGGAAACAGAACACAAAAGAAAAAAAGGGGUCUUGUUUCCUUCUUCUUCUCUCUUCUCUUCUUCUCGUUUUUUGUUUAUUU
rnacentral:ribozyme from 1 species